UACGGAGGGUGCAAGCGUUAUCCGGAUUUACUGGGGUUUAAAGGGUGCGUAGGUGGGUUGGUAAGGUCAGUGGUGAAAUACUUUCGCUUAACGAAGGAACUGCCAUUGAUACUAUCAAUCUUGAAUGUAGUGGAGGUAGGCGGAAUGCGGUACAUGUAGCGGUGAAAUGCUUAGAUAUGACGCAGAACACCAAUUGCGAAGGCAGCUUGCUACACUACUAUUGGACACUGAGGCACGAAAGCGUGGG
rnacentral:rRNA from 1 species